UGCUGGUGAAACACCAAGCAUAUGAUUCUCUCUAUCUCUCCCUACCUCUGUGCAUUCUCAAGUGCGCAUCCAUGCAAGUAUCAGGGACAUAAAAAAGAGCUGUUAUAGAAAAUGUUAGUAAAUUAUUUGGACAGCUCCCUUGCGCCGUUAUUUUCUAUGUAUUUCUUUUGUUCAUUAUGCGUGAGGCUAUUUUCAGAGUCAUAU
rnacentral:misc_RNA from 1 species